UACAGAGGGUGCGAGCGUUAAUCGGAAUUACUGGGCGUAAAGCGCGCGUAGGCGGCUUGUUAAGUCGGAUGUGAAAUCCCUGGGCUCAACCUAGGCAUUGCAUUCGAUACUGGCAAGCUAGAGUAUGGGAGAGGAAGGUAGAAUUCCAGGUGUAGCGGUGAAAUGCGUAGAGAUCUGGAGGAAUACCGAUGGCGAAGGCAGCCUUCUGGCCUAAUACUGACGCUGAGGUACGAAAGCAUGGGGAGCAAACAGG
rnacentral:rRNA from 1 species